rnacentral:lncRNA from 1 species
UGAGUAAUAGCUUUGCGGGAAGUAAUUUGAUGGUUUAUAGGGAUGACAAGCUGCCGCUGAGCUAUAUGCUACUAACUGAAAGGUGGACGAAGUGCGAUUCACUAUUUUCGGCUGCUCGUCUAUUUCCUUUUACUUCACAGCUUCUUUUUCUCUCACAUCGAGCACUGCUCUACACUCAUUUGUCUAAUGACCUUUGUUUUUCCCGUGCAACUAGCAGUACGGUAUUUUUUUAUCUUCGAGUCCUUUACCAGAUCGGCCUCCUCUCAAGUUUCUACAGCCCGCCGGCCCCCUUUUCUUCCAUAAAAUUGAUAUGAAG